UCUUUGUUGCCGUCUUGUUUCAUUGAGCUUCAUAAGCAACAGUUGAUGUUAACUCCAUGGGAGCAGAUACUUAAAUCAGCUCAAAAUGUGCUCUUCAAUGAAGAACUGUUUGCACAGAUUGUACAAUCAUUUGUGAUGAGGAACUUGUAUUAUAUAAUGUGAAACUGCACAAGAGGAAAGGUCGUGACUAGUGGGUGGGUCAUUGAAACUUAUCGCUAUAAAGAAAAACUACUCACACAAGUCACGUAUCUUGUACAGGGGGUG